rnacentral:misc_RNA from 1 species
UUUCCGUAGGUGAACCUGCGGAAGGAUCAUUACAGUACGUUCCACACGUAUAAACCAAACAGUUGAACUGAAGACGUCCGAUAGGAAAACUGCAAAAGUGGGUUAAUGGCCGGCGGCUUAGGGGUGGAUUCACGAAAUAUCAAACUCGACCUCUCGUAGGUUGGUUUGAGGUGAUCAAAAGUGCCUCGGUCGGUCUGUUUUUCUUUGCUUUAUUGCGAAGAAACGCCCCCGUUUUCCUAGUUCGCGUAUGCUAUCCAAUACAAACACUUUUGUAUCGCCUUUUUCAACAUUUUAACCCAUUUCACUUUUAUUUUUCAAAAAAAAAUUGAACUGAAAUCGUGUUGUCUUAGCGGACGACUCGACGAUAUUACGAAAUUUAAGAACAACUCUUAACAACGGAUAUCUUGGCUCUC